rnacentral:tRNA from 1 species
UAAGUAUAAAAUAUUGAUCUGUGGAGUCAAAUAUAUGAAAUUUCAUUUUAAAUCAUAAAAAAAUUU